AUUGAACGCUAGCGGGCUGCUUUACACAUGCAAGUCGAACGAGUGGCGGACGGGUGAGUAAUAUAUCGGAACGUGCCCAGUAGCGGGGGCUAACUACUCGAAAGAGUGGCUAAUACCGCAUACUAUUGUAGCGGCCGAUAUUGGAUUAGCUAGUUGGUGUGGUAAAGGCUCACCAAGGCAACGAUCCGUAGCUGGUCUGCGAGGACGACCAGCAACACUGGAACUGAGACACGGCCCAGACUCCUACGGGAGGCAGCAGUGGGGAAUUUUGGGCAAUGGGUGAAAGCCUGAUCCAGCCAUGCCGCGUGGAUGAGAAGGCCGUCGGGUUGUAAAGUACUGUUGGCAGAGAAGCGGUAUCUUCAGAAUAAGCACCGGCUAACGACGUGCCAGCAGCCGCGGUAAUUC
rnacentral:rRNA from 1 species